ACUACUAAAGGGGGGGCAUUGUGGGUCAAAUGCGGAAGCCUGGCAGGCCAGGUUUGGCUCAUGGGCUGGAUGUUCCCCACCCCGCCUCACUGGAACAUUGGUACCUACUGCCCCACUCCAGAAGGUUCCCAGCAAGUUAGGACUUAGACCAAAAUUUGUUGCACUGGUGAGAGUGCUAGUCUCCCUGGGUCCCUGGGGUCAGACAGAGUCUUACUCUAUGAGAUGUAAUCCACCCUCUGAUUGUGGCAGCACUUCACAGUGUACAGGGAGGUUUGUGAAGGAGUUCCGCAGGAUAGCAGCACUCCCAAGUCUUACAGCUCUAUUUUAAACAGCUACAUUGUACUAUCUCACUGAGGCAAAUUAGUGUGCAAUAAUAAUCAAUGAAACUCAUAAUAGUAAUGCUUCCAAAUAAGAAUUUAAUCCGACAGAUAAUUCUCCCACACUACCACCACCAUUAAAGAGCUCUGAUAAUAGUGAUUGUUUAUACUUGUAGUGGAUUUUUCAAGCAAGCUGUUUCAAGGGCCAUGCUGAUUAAUAAAACUUCAGCAAUUGAAAGACAGAUAAACUAGCAGGCUUAUGCAAUUGCCAAUGGGCUGAUCUUAUUAAAUAAACAUUUACAAAAAGAAAUUGAGCUUUUAAGAAGAGAUUUCCCGAUAGAAGCCUGUUGCUGCAAAAUGAAGAAGUAUAGGAGUCAAGGGACUGGCACUGUAUAUUAAAUUGGUUUAGUAAAGAUAAAUAUACAUUAUUAUUAAAACAUCAUGCAGUAUUGUUGUUGUUGUUGUUACAGCACCAUCAAUGCAAAUGUAUAUGCAGAGAGACUUACUCAUACAAAAUGACAAACAGUAGGGCCAAGGUGAAAUAUGCAAAUGUCACAUUCAGAACUAGGAAUGCAUUCUACAUACAUAAUUUUAUUUGUGUGCCACCUUUCCAUAGUUCAAACCACAUUCAAGGCACCUUGCAACAUGAAGAUACAAAAAUAUAACAUAACAAAAGUAGUCCUAAAAAAGAAAUACAACAUAAAAAAACAAGCAAAAAGUGACGCGGACACAAAACCCCACACAUUCACUGUAUAAAAGAAUAUAAGUUUCACCCCCCCUUCUUCCCUGACCUUAUACUGUACACAACACUAAUGUCUCAUAUCAAAUGUAACUGAUCCAUAGAAAAGACUUUACAACCUGAAAAAAGAGACAAGGCACGUACUUUUGCAAACCAAGAAUUUUUAAAUAAAAAUAUUUUUAACAAAAAAAUCAAAUAGAAGCAUUUCCACUGAAAUCAUAGUAAUAUCUAAAACAGAGAUACACAAAAUUAAUAUCAAUAGCAGCAACAACCGCACCAUAACAAAACCCCUAAACAAUACUUAAACAGCCCAAGUUUGUUCAGCACCCUGAGCUUUUGUAGCUGGACUUAUAGGCAAGAAUGGGAGAGAAAUAUGAUUCAGUUCACAUUUAAAGACAAGUUAACAAAAUUACUGUUUUCUAAAACAACAUGCAAACUGAAAUACAGCUACCCUUUGAAAUUCCCACUUCUCCGAAUAUUGCAAUGCAGUUCUUCAGCCAAGUAAUUUGUUCAAGAAUUCACAUACAAUGGGAAAGGUGUGCACGUAAAUGCAGAUGUUAGUGAAAAUAACAUAGAGAAAUAAAUUACUGUGUAUCGUGGGAAUUGCUUUGCAAAAAUGUGGAUACUCAACACUUGUUUGGUGGUUAGGUUCUGGAGGGUUGGGCCUAAAGCCAAAAUUGUGUACUCCGAACAACCCUGAAACUGCCCAUAUUGGCCAUCCUUACCUUUCCAAAGCCAACACACUCAGUGGACCUUGCACCCCACACAAGGCAGAGAGCUUUUAACCUCUGCCCUGCUUGCCAAGCUCUGGGAGGCUCUUUUGUGGGUUCUGGAAGCCCUCAUGGGGCCAUCCAAGAUCUUGGUUGGCAACCAGGGUGUGGAGAAAAAUAAGGUGGUUGGCAGAUUCCUUCACCUGCUCAAUCGACCAAGAGAGUAUUUGCAACUGCACAGGCAAAAGAGGGAAAUAUAAGAGAAAAACAGAUCAUAACCCUUGGCUCCUGACCAGCUAACUCUUCUCUAAGUAGAGAAAAUCGAGCCAUGGCCUUGGGGGAAACUGCUCUUUAGUGCUACAUUGAAACAAACAGCAACUGGAUUUUCUCCAGAUGGCUGUUUAUUCCAGUUUAGAGCUAAGGGAUGUGUUUUCUCUGAGAAAGGAGAAAGCAAGUGGAAAACCACCCUGAUCCGUGCUUUCUAGGCAGUGGACAAGUGGAAGUGUGGACUUGCCCUAAGAAGAUAAGAAGAAGAAGAAGAAAAGAGGUGCCAAUACUCACCAUGGAGUUGCUAUAUGUUGACCCCUGACAACUAUAAACAUCGUUGGCAACAUGGGAGAAAAGCAUACUUCUAAGUUAAGUUUCUUGUUUGCAGCCUCCCACUCCACUAAACAUUUCUACCAGUUCAAAUGUUGCAACAUUAGUCCAUUUAAUUGCAAUCUGCACAAAAUAAUCUAUGGAAGUGUAGUACAGCUGACAAGGCUUUGAGAAACCAAAAAUCGUGUAUGUAUUUAUCCUUUCUGCCUUCAGGAGGAGAUAUAAUUUGUUCCCUGUCAUGCUAUGAUGACACCAAGGAAAUUGGAGGAGCAAAGAAAGCUCCGAACAAGUAUGUGUGUGAGAAGAUUAUAAAAAUUACUUGUUUUUAAACUUCGGUUUCCUAGCAAUUUUCCUCUAUCAAUGAUUUGCAAACAGGUUCUAUUCCUCACUUUAAAAAAUUCUCAGAGCAAUUGCAUUCUGUUUCCCAUUUAAAAGACCUUGCUGAUUGAAUUGAGCCAUUGGUUUUAAGCGCUUUUACCCUUCAAUUUUAAUUCUUGCAAAUUCCUACCCUGAAGACGUUCCUCUCUAUAACACUUGGAACUACAGUGUGUGUGUGUGUUCUUGACAUGGUUUUUUUUUAAAAAAAAUACUCUUCUUAAUUCACAUUUGAUUCUCUGUCAGAAUAUCUUCCGACUUUUUAUAGAAUAAAAACAACACUUCUGCUCAUUUGUGUGAAAUGCUCUUCAAAUUUUGUUUUUUUUUGGGGGGGGGGGACUUGUCUAUCUGACAAAAGUCAAGUAUGUUUUGCAAUUUUCAUGUGGAGGUUAUUUUAAUUAAGCUUUAAGUGUGGGGCCUGUAUUACCUCAGAGGCAUAAGUGCAAACUAGCCCUCUGUGUUGUACCCAAUGGUUAUUAUUGAAUGAACAACAACAACAAUUAAUUAAUUUAUGCAUCACUUUCUCUGAGACAUCUCAAAGCGAUUUAAAGUUCAAUGAAUCUAAAACAACCACAUAGAAGCAAUUAAGACAACUGCAUAUAUUAAAACUAAAAAAACAACAACCUAGAAAACAAUUAGAAAACACCAAUGACAUAUAUAAAAUCAAUUUCAAAUCCAGUACUGAUACCCAAAAAUAUAACAGUCUCCACUGAAAGAGUAAAGUCUACAUGCCUAAACAGGCAUGUAGAAGAUAACAGAGAGCGAUGAAGAGCUCAAGAGGUGAAAUGAGACAUUCCACUCCAGAACUCCCCCCCCAACUGCAUAUCAGAGAGAACCUACUCUAUUGUUUUCUGCAUGUGUGUGUAUUCAGCAAUGCCUGAUUAUCACCUUCCAAAGCAACUACUCUAUUCCAAACUUAAAAAUGGAAAGCAUAGUGCUGGUGGUCAACAAAAGAGGUUUAAAGACUGUCUCAAGGCAAAUCUAACAAAACACCAACAAUUGGGAAACACAUGCCUGUGAGUGCUCCAGUUGGAGAACAGUCUUUACCAAAGGUGUCCUGGGCUUUGAAGAUUCUGGAACUCAGGACACAAGGGAGAAAUGUGCUAAGAGGAAGGCACGCUUGGCAAAUCCACACCGUGAUCAACUCCUUCCUAGAAACCUAUGUCCCCACUAUGGAAGGACGUGUGGAUCCAGAAUUGACCUCCACAGUCACUUACAGACUCAUUGUUAGAUUGUCUUCCAUAAACACAGUUUUUACUCGGCUACGAGGGAUCACCAAAGAAGAAGAGGAAGAUGAAGAUGAAGAGGAAGAGGAAGAAGAAGAAGAAGAGGAGGAG